rfam:Populus trichocarpa scaffold_18_contig_214, whole genome shotgun sequence.
UCUAGAACUUGAGAUAUGGGCUGAAAACUGAACAGUGUCUGGGCUGCAGGACAGAUUCUGACUUCUUUGUUGUUGCUACAAUUUGAACUUGAAAACGAUCUUUUUGAAUCUUGGACUCUUCAUGAAAGUUUUAGGCCUAUGUCUUAGCUUUCUAUC